rnacentral:rRNA from 1 species
AGUGAACGCUGGCGGUAGGCCUAACACAUGCAAGUCGAACGGCAGCACAGUAAGAGCUUGCUCUUACGGGUGGCGAGUGGCGGACGGGUGAGGAAUACAUCGGAAUCUACUUUUUCGUGGGGGAUAACGUAAGGAAACUUACGCUAAUACCGCAUACGACCUACGGGUGAAAGCAGGGGAUCUUCGGACCUUGCGCGAUUGAAUGAGCCGAUGUCGAAUUAGCUAGUUGGCGGGGUAAAGGCCCACCAAGGCGACGAUCCGUAGCUGGUCUGAGAGGAUGAUCAGCCACACUGGAACUGAGACACGGUCCAGACUCCUACGGGAGGCAGCAGUGGGGAAUAUUGGACAAUGGGCGCAAGCCUGAUCCAGCCAUACCGCGUGGGUGAAGAAGGCCUUCGGGUUGUAAAGCCCUUUUGUUGGGAAAGAAAAGCAGCAGGUUAAUACCCCGCUGUUCUGACGGUACCCAAAGAAUAAGCACCGGCUAACUUCGUG